UACGAAGGGUGCAAGCGUUGCUCGGAAUUAUUGGGCGUAAAGGGCGCGUAGGUGGCGCGGGCAGUCAACGGUGAAAGUUCGGGGCUCAACCCUGAAUCGGCCGUCGAUACUCCCGGGCUUGAGCACUGUAGAGGCAGAUGGAAUUCCGGGUGUAGCGGUGGAAUGCGUAGAGAUCCGGAAGAACACCGGUGGCGAAGGCGGUCUGCUGGGCAGUAGCUGACACUGAGGCGCGACAGCGUGGGGAGCAAACAGG
rnacentral:rRNA from 1 species